UUCCCAGACUCCUACGGGAGGCAGCAGUGAGGAAUAUUGGUCAAUGGGCUUACGCCUGAACCAGCCAAGUCGCGUGAGGGAAGACUGCCCUAUGGGUUGUAAACCUCUUUUGUCAGGGAGCAAUUGGCGCUACGUGUAGCGUUAUCGAGAGUACCUGAAGAAAAAGCAUCGGCUAACUCCGUGCCAGCAGCCGCGGUAAUACGGAGGAUGCGAGCGUUAUCCGGAUUUAUUGGGUUUAAAGGGUGCGUAGGCGGACAGUCAAGUCAGCGGUAAAAAUGCGGUGCUCAACGCCGUACAGCCGUUGAAACUGGCAGUCUUGAGUGGGCGAGAAGUAUGCGGAAUGCGUGGUGUAGCGGUGAAAUGCAUAGAUAUCACGCAGAACUCCGAUUGCGAAGGCAGCGCACCGGCGCCCUACUGACGCUCAGGCACGAAAGCGUGGGUAUCGAACAGGAUUAGAUACCCUCGUA
rnacentral:rRNA from 1 species